rnacentral:rRNA from 1 species
UACGUAGGCAGCGAGCGUUGUUCGGAGUUACUGGGCGUAAAGCGUGCGUAGGCGGUGUCUUAAGUUUGUUGUGAAAUCUCCCGGCUCAACUGGGAGGGUGCGCCGAAUACUGAAUGACUAGAGUGCGGGAGAGGAGAGUGGAAUUCCUGGUGUAGCGGUGAAAUGCGUAGAUAUCAGGAGGAACACCGGUGGUGUAGACGGCUCUCUGGACCGUAACUGACGCUGAGGCACGAAAGCGUGGGUAGCAAACAGGG